GCUUACACAUGCAGUCGAACGAUGAAGCCCAGCUUGCUGGGUGGAUUAGUGGCGAACGGGUGAGUAACACGUGGGUGAUCUGCCCUGCACUUCGGGAUAAGCCUGGGAAACUGGGUCUAAUACCGGAUAGGACCUCGGGAUGCAUGUUCCGGGGUGGAAAGGUUUUCCGGUGCAGGAUGGGCCCGCGGCCUAUCAGCUUGUUGGUGGGGUAACGGCCCACCAAGGCGACGACGGGUAGCCGGCCUGAGAGGGCGACCGGCCACACUGGGACUGAGACACGGCCCAGACUCCUACGGGAGGCAGCAGUGGGGAAUAUUGCACAAUGGGCGCAAGCCUGAUGCAGCGACGCCGCGUGAGGGAUGACGGCCUUCGGGUUGUAAACCUCUUUCAGUACCGACGAAGCGCAAGUGACGGUAGGUACAGAAGAAGCACCGGCCAACUACGUGCCAGCAGCCGCGGUAAUACGUAGGGUGCGAGCGUUGUCCGGAAUUACUGGGCGUAAAGAGCUCGUAGGCGGUUUGUCGCGUCGUCUGUGAAAACCCGCAGCUCAACUGCGGGCUUGCAGGCGAUACGGGCAGACUUGAGUACUGCAGGGGAGACUGGAAUUCCUGGUGUAGCGGUGAAAUGCGCAGAUAUCAGGAGGAACACCGGUGGCGAAGGCGGGUCUCUGGGCAGUAACUGACGCUGAGGAGCGAAAGCGUGGGUAGCGAACAGGAUUAGAUACCCUGGUAGUCCACGCCGUAAACGGU
rnacentral:rRNA from 1 species